rnacentral:rRNA from 1 species
UACAGAGGGUGCAAGCGUUAAUCGGAAUUACUGGGCGUAAAGCGUGCGUAGUCGGUUAUCUAAGUCAGGUGUGAAAUCCCCGGGCUCAACCUGGGAAUUGCGAUGGAGACUGCAAGGCUAGAGUUUGGCAGAGGGGGGUAGAAUUCCACGUGUAGCAGUGAAAUGCGUAGAGAUGUGGAGGAACACCGAUGGCGAAGGCAGCCCCCUGGGUCAAAACUGACGCUCAUGCACGAAAGCGUGGGGAGCAAACAGG